rnacentral:rRNA from 1 species
UACGGGGGGGGGCAAGCGUUGUCCGGAUUUACUGGGCGUAAAGCGCGCGCAGGCGGCAUGGCAAGUAAGGUGUGAAAUCUCCCUGCCUAACGGGGAGGGUGCACUUUAGACUGCCAAGCUAGAGGACGGCAGAGGGGGAUGGAAUUCCGCGUGUAGCAGUGAAAUGCGUAGAUAUGCGGAGGAACACCGAUGGCGAAGGCAGCCUUCUGGGCCAACACUGACGCUCAUGCACGAAAGCGUGGGGAGCAAACAGG